AUUCUGGGCGUAAGCGCAUGCAGGUGGUUCAUUAAGUUCAGAUGUGAAAGCCCGGGGCUCAACCUCGGAACUGCAUUUGAAACUGGUGAACUAGAGUGCUGUAGAGGGGGGUAGAAUUUCAGGUGUAGCGGUGAAAUGCGUAGAGAUCUGAAGGAAUACCAGUGGCGAAGGCGGCCCCCUGGACAGACACUGACACUCAGAUGCGAAAGCGUGGGGAGCAAACAGGAUUAGAUACCCUGGUAGUCCACGCCGUAAACGAUGUCUACUUGGAGGUUGUGGCCUUGAGCCGUGGCUUUCGGAGCUAACGCGUUAAGUAGACCGCCUGGGGAGUACGGUCGCAAGAUUAAAACUCAAAUGAAUUGACGGGGGCCCGCACAAGCGGUGGAGCAUGUGGUUUAAUUCGAUGCAACGCGAAGAACCUUACCUACUCUUGACAUCCAGAGAAGCCAGCGGAGACGCAGGUGUGCCUUCGGGAACUCUGAGACAGGUGCUGCAUGGCUGUCGUCAGCUCGUGUUGUGAAAUGUUGGGUUAAGUCCCGCAACGAGCGCAACCCUUAUCCUUGUUUGCCAGCGAGUAAUGUCGGGAACUCCAGGGAGACUGCCGGUGAUAAACCGGAUGAAGGUGGGGACGACGUCAAGUCAUCAUGGCCCUUACGAGUAGGGCUACACACGUGCUACAAUGGCGCAUACAGAGGGCAGCAAGCUAGCGAUAGUGAGCGAAUCCCAAAAAGUGCGUCGUA
rnacentral:rRNA from 1 species